rnacentral:rRNA from 1 species
UACGGAGGGUGCAAACGUUGCUCGGAAUCACUGGGCGUAAAGCGCACGUAGGCGGCCCGACAAGUCGGAUGUGAAAGCCCUGGGCUCAACCUAGGAAGUGCAUUCGAAACUGCCGGGCUUGAGUACGGGAGAGGGUUGCGGAAUUCCUGGUGUAGCGGUGGAAUGCGCAGAUAUCAGGAGGAACACCAAUAGCGAAGGCAGCUCGCUGGGACGGUACUGACGCUGAGGCGCGAAAGCGUGGGGAGCAAACAGG